rnacentral:rRNA from 1 species
UACGGAGGGGGCUAGCGUUGUUCGGAAUUACUGGGCGUAAAGCGCGCGUAGGCGGCUUGGAAAGUUGGAUGUGAAAUCCCGGGGCUCAACCCCGGAACUGCAUACAAAACUUCCUGGCUAGAGACUUAGAGAGGUGGGCGGAAUUCCGAGUGUAGAGGUGAAAUUCGUAGAUAUUCGGAAGAACACCGGUUGCGAAGGCGGCUCACUGGCUAAGUUCUGACGCUGAGGUGCGAAAGCGUGGGGAGCAAACAGG